GACAGAGGGGGCAAGCGUUGCUCGGAAUUACUGGGCGUAAAGGGCGCGUAGGCGGCCGGACAGGUGGAAGGUGAAAUCCCCGAGCUCAACUCGGGAACUGCCCUCCAAACUGUUUGGCUUGAGUCCGGGAGAGGUGAGUGGAAUUCCCAGUGUAGCGGUGAAAUGCGUAGAUAUUGGGAGGAACACCAGUGGCGAAGGCGGCUCACUGGACCGGAACUGACGCUGAGGCGCGAAAGCGUGGGGAGCAAACAGG
rnacentral:rRNA from 1 species